rfam:Candidatus Liptonbacteria bacterium GWC1_60_9 gwc1_scaffold_5402, whole genome shotgun sequence.
GCAUCCAUAGCUCAAUGGUAGAGCAGCUCCCUCUUAAGGAGACGGUUGGAGGUUCGAGUCCUCCUGGAUGCA